rnacentral:rRNA from 1 species
ACUGAGAUACGGCCCAGACUCCUACGGGAGGCAGCAGUGGGGAAUAUUGCACAAUGGGCGCAAGCCUGAUGCAGCGACGCCGCGUGAGGGAUGGAGGCCUUCGGGUUGUAAACCUCUUUUGUUUGGGAGCAAGCCUUCGGGUGAGUGUACCUUUCGAAUAAGCGCCGGCUAACUACGUGCCAGCAGCCGCGGUAAUACGUAGGGCGCAAGCGUUAUCCGGAUUUAUUGGGCGUAAAGGGCUCGUAGGCGGCUCGUCGCGUCCGGUGUGAAAGUCCAUCGCUUAACGGUGGAUCUGCGCCGGGUACGGGCGGGCUGGAGUGCGGUAGGGGAGACUGGAAUUCCCGGUGUAACGGUGGAAUGUGUAGAUAUCGGGAAGAACACCGAUGGCGAAGGCAGGUCUCUGGGCCGUCACUGACGCUGAGGAGCGAAAGCGUGGGGAGCGAACAGGAUUAGAUACCCUGGUAGUCCACGCCGUAAACGGUGGACGCUGGAUGUGGGGCACGUUCCACGUGUUCCGUGUCGGAGCUAACGCGUUAAGCGUCCCGCCUGGGGAGUACGGCCGCAAGGCUAAAACUCAAAGAAAUUGACGGGGGCCCGCACAAGCGGCGGAGCAUGCGGAUUAAUUCGAUGCAACGCGAAGAACCUUACCUGGGCUUGACAUGUUCCCGACGACGCCAGAGAUGGCGUUUCCCUUCGGGGCGGGUUCACAGGUGGUGCAUGGUCGUCGUCAGCUCGUGUCGUGAGAUGUUGGGUUAAGUCCCGCAACGAGCGCAACCCUCGCCCCGUGUUGCCAGCACGUUAUGGUGGGAACUCACGGGGGACCGCCGGGGUUGACUCGGAGGAAGGUGGGGAUGACGUCAGAUCAUCAUGCCCCUUACGUCCAGGGCUUCACGCAUGCUACAAUGGCCGGUACAGCGGGAUGCGACAUGGCGACAUGGAGCGGAUCCCUGAAAACCGGUCUCAGUUCGGAUCGGAGCCUGCAACCCGGCUCCGUGAAGGCGGAGUCGCUAGUAAUCGCGGAUCAGCAACGCCGCGGUGAAUGCGUUCCCGGGCCUUGUACACACCGCCCGUCAAGUCAUGAAAGUGGGCAGCACCCGAAGCCGGUGGCCUAACCCCUUGUGGGAUGGAGCCGUCUAAGGUGAGGCUCGUGAUUGGGACUAAGUCGUAACAAGGUAGCCGUACCGGAAGGUGCGGCUG